GAGCGUAGGGGCGAGCGUUAUCCGGAUUCACUGGGCGUAAGGGCGCGCAGCGGCUACGUAAGUCCGGCGUGAAAUCCCAUGGCUUAACUGUGGAACUGCGUCGGAUACUGCGUUGGCUUGAGGAUGGUAGAGGCCAUUAGAACUAGCGGUGUAGCGGUGAAAUGCGCAGAUAUCGCUAGGAAUGCCGGUGGCGAAGGCGGAUGGCUGGGCCACUCCUGACGCUGGAGGCGCGAAAGCUAGGGGAGCGAACCGGA
rnacentral:rRNA from 1 species